rnacentral:rRNA from 1 species
GCUUUUCUUCUUCAGCGGGCUUACCAUGCAGUCGCGUGCGCAGUUGCCGUACAAUACGGUGAUGGGCGCACGGCGCACGGGAGCGUAACACGUGGGCAAUCUGCCCUCCGAUGGGGAAUAACCCCGCGAAAGCGGGGCUAAUUCCGCAUAACAUUCCUUGGACUUAGGUUUGAGGAUUCAAAGCAGCAAUGCGUCGGAGGAGGAGCCCGCGCCCGAUUAGCUAGUUGGUGAGGUAACGGCUCACCAAGGCAAUGAUCGGUAGCUGGUCUGAGAGGAUGAUCAGCCACACUGGAACUGAGACACGGUCCAGACUCCUACGGGAGGCAGCAGUGGGGAAUCUCGCACAAUGGGCGAAAGCCUGAUGCAGCGACGCCGCGUGGGGGAUGAAGCUUCUCGGAGUGUAAACCCCUUUCGACUGGGACGAAUGCCCGCAAGGGAGUGACGGUACCAGUAGAAGAAGCCCCGGCUAACUACGUGCCAGCAGCCGCGGUAAGACGUAGGGGGCCAGCGUUGUUCGGAAUUACUGGGUGUAAAGGGUUCGUAGGCGGUGUGGCAAGUUGGGAGUGAAAUCUCUGGGCUCAACCCAGAGGCUGCUUCCAAAACUGCUGUGCUUGAGUGUGGGAGAGGCGCGUGGAAUUGCAGGUGUAGCGGUGAAAUGCGUAGAUAUCUGCAGGAACACCCGUGGCGAAAGCGGCGCGCUGGACCACAACUGACGCUGAGGAACGAAAGCUAGGGGAGCAAACAGGAUUAGAUACCCUGGUAGUCCUAGCCCUAAACGAUCAGGACUUGGGGUGCCGCCCGUUCGGGCGUCGUCCCGGAGCUAACGCGUUAAGUCCUGCACCUGGGGAGUACGGUCGCAGACUGAACUCAAAGGAAUUGACGGGGCCCGCACAGCGGUGACCAUGUGGAUCAUCGAUGCCUACGCGAGAUCUUUAACCUUGGCUUUCGGAAAAAAG